CGUAGGUGACCUGCGGAAGGAUCAUUAUCGAAACAUGAAAGGUGCAGAGGGGGACCUCCCCGGUCCUUCGAAGCCCUUUUUACCUCGUCCACACCCUCUGUGCACCCCAUUCGCGUGGUUCUUCGGAACCUGCGUAAUACUAUCUCGAACCCGUAUGUCUUACAGAAUGUAACAUAGCGUUGGAAACGAAAUACAACUUUCAGCAACGGAUCUCUUGGCUCUCGCAUCGAUGAAGGACGCAGCGAAUCGCGAUAAGUAAUGUGAAUUGCAGAUUUUCCGUGAAUCAUCGAAUCUUUGAACGCACCUUGCGCUCCUUGGUAUUCCGAGGAGCAUGCCUGUUUGAGUGUCAUUGAAAAUCUCAAGCCCAAGCUGCUUCUGACUUUGGUCGAAGAGCCUGGAUCUUGGAGUGUUGGGAGGUCUGCGGGUGGCCCGCUCUGGGAUGCCGGCUCUCCUGAAAUGCAUUAGUGGGAUGGGCAAUGCGACCAGCCUCUUCGACGUCGUAACGCGAUCGUCGUGGACUGAGAGCUGCACGACCCCGCCGGGAAACCCCUUGCUUUUUGAAGGCUGACCUCAAAUCAGGUAGGACUACCCGCUG
rnacentral:rRNA from 1 species